rnacentral:lncRNA from 1 species
UAUAUAGAGACAGUAUAUAUGAUAUAAAUCAUGCAGGUAAUAAUUUUUAUUUUUUCCAUAUGUUUUAGAUAUUUUUUAAUUCAUUUUUUUCUUCAAAUAUGUAUUUUUGAAUAUAUUUUUCUACUUUUAUGGCAUAUAUAUGGUUAACAAUGUUUGACUUAUUUGGUAUACUGAAUAUAUGAACAUAUCAUUUCUCACAAAUGUCAAUUCAUGAAUUAGAUGACUCCAGGGCCGUCAAGUCAUAUGCAGAAAGCAUUCGCUCUUGUGUAUGCAACUCUUUUUGUUAUCUAAGUCUUGCAACAUAUUUUUACCCUAUCCAACAUUCUAUCUAUGCACACGUGUCAGUCUAAAUUUCUCGCCUUCAUCACAGUCGACACCAUUUGUAUUACAAACAUAUUUGAUAUAUUGUUUAAGUUUCAUUCCGUCAAGAACAUUUUUUGAAAUAUAAACAACUGGACGCUAAACAAUUUUUAAUGUCUUAAAAUCAUAGUAACAACAAACCUGGAAAGCUCAGCAAAUUUGAGUGAUUGGGAAUAAGGAUUGCAAAUGUGGACCCCAAUCGAAAAAUUAUGGUUAACUAUGUUGGAAAGGGACAUAAAUUAAGUUAUACCAACUUUCCAUUCAAUAAGAACAAUUAUUGAUAUUUUUCAUAGAGAUGGUUUUUAAUAUGAACUUGAUUGUAAAAAUCAUGAACAGCUAAUAUAUCUUUUGUUUUGUUAACGUUUAAAACAUGGUCAUUUAUUUAAAAAAAAACCUUUCUUCAUAAUAAUCGACAGCUUUGGAACACAUGCAUGCAUUUGGAAAAUAAUAAGCAUGAAAUAGAGAUUGAAGCCUGCAAAUACUCAACAACCUGUCUCUCUUAAGACUUUCAAAAGAUAAUUUAUCUGUUUAAAAAUUGAAGAUUAAUAAACGAUGUCACCCUACUGUGACUAUUGCAACUUAUUAUAUAGAAGGCUAAUAUGUUAUGUCAGUUUUUCCCCCUUUUUUUUUUUUAUAGUUUAUUAAAAAAAAACUAACUUUAAUAUACAUUGUAGCAAGAAAGAGAUUAUAUUUUGACAGAAUAACUAUUAUCAGACAGCCUGACAAAAUCAUCAACCGAAUACGAUGCCUGAUUCGUCAUACCAAUUUCUGUCAAUAUCACUAAUGACAACUUACAUUUAACGUAACAGCUUUUUAAAAUGUUUAAUGAAUCUUAAAACUUAAAACUUACAUGUAUGAAAAUAUCAUAUGAAUCUAGAAUCAUUAAAAUGUUCGGUCCUCCCGGUUUUAAACAUGUAAAACAUGAAGACGCGAGUUUGGCCCUUUCGGUUCAAAACCAUUGUUGUCAUUCUUUUGCACAUAUUUUUUUAAAAUGCUUGUGUCUUAUUGGACACUUGGGCAGACACGGUUUAAAAUUUGUACAUCAAUACAAGAUUUGUAUCAUUCAAUUUCUAUAAUUCCAUUGAUUGAAACAUGCUGAUAGGUUUCAUAGCAAUUGAGAAUAAUAUACCAACUGAAAUUUAUUUAAUUUAAAUAUGACAAUAAACAAGCCAACAUUUUUACUAUUUAAAUUGAAAAACGAUAUCAAGCGAUAAAAUAUUAUAUUCUCACAAGUUUUUAAACCUAUUUUUCUGAUGGUUAACCUAUCGAUCAUGAAUGUGUUGACCCCAAGGGUGACUGGGGAUUUAAUAUAAGGUCAUCACAUGUCUUCUUCCGAAUGGCAGUGAAACCUUUGACAAAGUGGGGCGUCUGAUUAACUGCGUGUUGUAUCAAGUACACAGUCACUUCUGGUCAGAAUGGGGACGUUAAAUAUGAUCUUGUGUAAAGAGAAUUAUAAUACCUCGUUUUUUGCACGUUACGAUCCCUUACAUCAACUAGUAGGAGGCAUAUUGAAAGGCCAAAUUUCGGUCCCUAUCCAACAUACCAUAAUUUUCCAGUGACAGUCAUAAUUUCCUUUGCCCCAGUCGGCCUGUAUUACAAGACCUACCAAUUGUAUUCAUUUUUAAUUUCUUCUUGUCCUGAAUAUACAUGCAAUAUUUGCCACUAGAUGUUAUGCAACCAAUAAUCAAUCAAUCAAUGUGUUGAAUAGGAAAGUCCGCGAGUCGGUAUACUUAAAGUUAUUGAUUUAUUUAAAGUGACAAUGUGUUGUUUUUGUACUAUAAGUUGUAAAAAGAAAACAAAUUUGUCUUGGUAAAUAUGUAAAUAUAUUCAAAAUCAUUGUUAACUGUUAAUUUGUUUAAAUUUUUAAAGAAAAAAAACAGCAAUGAUUGCAAUAGUUAUCUUUAUGUUCUCUUUCACAGUUUAAACCUACCUCAUUCGAAAAAAUAGUAAAGAUAGAAUCAUCAUGCAAUAAAAAAUAUUUUUUUCAGUUUUCAGUAACAAUCGUUUGUAUUUUGGUCCUUGGAGUCCUCGCAGCUGAAGGUACAGAUACGGUGUUGUCAGAUGCCAAAGGUUGUCCACAGUUGUGUUCUAGUGAAUAUAAUCACUGUCACAAGUUGUUCAUGUGUAAUGAACGUAAUUCCGAAGAUGAAAGCAUCCAGUGUUUCCAGUAUUGUCUUGAAAGAUUACAGAUGUGCCAGAAAAGUUGCAAAGUGCAGUAAAAUUUACAUGACUACAGAAUCGUUAUUGCUAAAGGAAACUAGAAAAAAGACAUGUUUGAAGCACACGUAUGCUUAUACAUGAUUAAAUGUAAUAAAAGA